GACGUAGGUGGCGAACGUUAUCCGGAAUUAUUGGGCGUAAAGGGUGCGUAGAUGGCCUGAUAAGUUAGCAGUGGGAAAUCGAGGCUCAACCUCGUGGAGGCUGGUAAUACUGUCAGGCUCGAGUGCAGGAGAGGUUAACGGAACUCCAUGUGGAGCGGUAAAAUGUGUAGAUAUAUGGAAGAACACCAAUAACGGCGAAGGCAGUUAACUAUUCUGUUACUGACAUUGAGGCACGAAAGCGUGGGGAGCAAAACGG
rnacentral:rRNA from 1 species